rfam:Gossypium raimondii Chr11_contig_554, whole genome shotgun sequence.
CACGUCAGUACGCUUUGCUGAGUGGCAACAAAUCGCCCCUUUGAGGACGCGAUUUGUUGCCACGUCAGCAAAGCGCGCUAACGUGG